rnacentral:misc_RNA from 1 species
GUUGAUGAAUUAUUUAUUCACAAGUGCAGUAAAUUAUCAUACGGUUCAAGUUAUAAUAAGUACAUAUUCUAAGAAAACAAUUCCCGUGGGGUAGAACCAGGAAUGGAGGGACAAACCACAUGGAACAAGUGCCACCGUACAGUUGAGGGCUCCAGCACAAAAGUUGAACAAUAUUUUAUAUUCUGACAGACUCUAGAUUAGUCAGAGAGAAAAAUCUUUGCCAUAUCAGGACUGUUCCAUAACAAGAAACAGGCAAACACUUAGUCACAGACACUUGCUCACCAUGGACUGAAUUGUGGAAGAACAUCAAUAUAUUUACUUCAUCUCCUCCUUGUACUAACAUUUGUGGCACCAAUUGAAUCUCAAGAUAGAGGAAGCACCAAUGUCAACGCCAGAGAGAAAUUACAUUCAGUAAUCUCUUAACCAAUACAAAGAACCUUAAGAGCUAAAACUGGAAGCUUACUAAACAACGUUUUCGAAGUAUCAAAAGAAAACCAAAUAAAUUCCAGGUAAGAAUAUUAUUACAUGAUGCUUUUAAGCUAGAGUAUUUCGUGUUUCAAAGAUAGUCCAAAUUUUGCACUAAAUACAGUCAAAAACUGAAACUAAGUAGACAGGCUUCAUAACUAGUGGUAUAUUUUGGACUCAGGACUCGAGAAAUUUCCACAAAUUCAAGGUGGCUGCCACGAGUUUCAUACUUUCAGAAAUCUUCUGAGUUCUCAGUACCAGGAUCUAGCACCAAUAUACCGAUCAUAUAGACCUACACCAUGUGGAGGAGAAGCAGGACGAUGUAAUGUCCUUGUGUAAGGUUGGUAUUCAGAUGGCUGGGAAGCAGAAUAUGAGAGAUCAUGGUCCCUGUAUAGAACAUCGGGAUCACGGUGUUCAAUCUCCCCCCGAUACCUCAUUUCUGAAUCUAGAAACCAUCUAUCAUGAUGCUCAUGGAAUGGGUACCUUGCAUGCUUAAUCUGCUCUUGACGCCUCAGCUCCAAAUCUCGAAAUAGUCUGUCCUGAUGUUCAACAGGUGGAUCCAUUCUAUAAUCAUUCCUUUCCAAGAUCCGUUCGUAAGCAUAUGAUUGUGGAGGGGGUACAAGAGUUGGUGCUCGGGGUAAAGGUACACACGAUGGCAGAGGUGCAACAGGGGAUGCAUAAAUUUCCCUUUCGUAGGUGUCAAGGCGCCGCUUCCUAGUCCUGUCCUGAUCUGCAAAUUUAUGGAUUUCUGCUACGUGAUGUCGUUUUCUACUCUUGUCUCGAUCUGUAAAUGUACGUGUCUUUGCUCCAGGAUUUCUUUGCAACCCUUUCAACUCGGAGGUAUUGCUAGCAGCUCGAAAAAGCUUGCACAAAUUCUUCACCUGUUCUGAUGUCAGUCGACAAUCAAAUUUGUUCUUCUGGUAGUAGUUGUCUUUGAUAACCUUUUUAAACUUCUCCUCUGGCAGAGGCAAGCAGUCCUCAUAAACAUUGAACCGCACCUGUGAAGGGAAUGCAGACUUGAAAGCCUUUGGUUCAAUAUUGUAACCCCCAGGUCCUGUAGCUUUGUAGAUUCCAUAUAGCAAUUUCAAAUCAAAAUCAAACAAAAAUAGCUUCAUCCCUUCACAGAUUUGUAGAACAACAUCUCUCUUGCUUACUGGCAAACCUAAAACCUUGUAACGGUAGCAAUCCUUCUUUGUCUUAGAGCUACACAUAAAUAUCAUUCCCAUAAGUUUAGCAUUUUUGUUUGAAGGUUCUUGCUCAUUUGUAUCCUUGACAAUCCCUUCAUUGAUGGCCUUCAAAGCUAACUUCUUCCUUGAGUAUUUUCUCCCCUUUUUCUUCUGAGAAAUAUCUUCGACUUUAUCUUCAUCCUUCACCUUUUCUUUUUCAUCUUCUUCUUGCACUAGUUCAUCAUCAACAUUUGCUUUAUUAUUCAACUCCUCCAUAGUUUGAAGGUUCUUCUUGUUUAAAGGUUUUUGAUCAUUUAUAUCCUUGACAAUCACUUCAUUCUUACCCUUCAAAGCCAUCUUCUUCUUUAAGGCCUUUUUUCCUUUCUUCCUCAACUUAUCUAUUUUCUUGGAGAUAGCUUCUAUUUGUUCUUCAUUCUUCACCUCUUCUUUUGUAUCUUCUACAUGUGCCACUUCUUCAUUAGGAUUCUCCUUGUUAUUCAACUUCUCCAUUGUAUGUUCUUUCUCCUUGUCAUGUCCUAUAACCACAUUUGACUCUUUUGUAAGCUCUUCCUUCCCUUUACCAAAAGGAAUCAAAAUUGAUUCUUUGCCAUUCAUCUUCACUGGCUCCAAUAAAGUUAUCUCAGUUUCAACAUUGUCAAUAUUAUCAUUAUUCAUCUCUAUUUGCAUAUUUUCUUUCUCCUCUUCACCCCUAAUAACCAUAUCAAAUUCUUUUGAAAAUUGUUCCUUCUCUUCACCAUCAAGAAUCAAAAUUGAUUGUUCAUCGUUCACCUUCACUAUUUCUGAAGAAGCUCUAUCAAUUUCAAUGGCCCCACUCUUACCAUCAUUAUCCACUUCUUCCAUCUUAUGUUCUUUCUCCAUUUCACCUUCAAUAUUGCCGUUGCUAGUUUUUGGUGUUCCGCUAAAAGCAUCCUCGCCAAUUAUUUCAUCCAUUGGAAGUUUGGCAACCUAGAUAAUUCCAUGCACAAUUCUAAUCCAUCCAUUAGAUAUUUGCAUGAAGGGGCAACCUAUGGAACCUCAAUUUGUUUCCAUUUCCUCGAUGUAUCUCCUAUUAAAUAUGCCGAUCCUUGUCAACUUUAUUAUUAUGUCACAUCACAUGAUAUCCUCCACAUGAUUGCUAUAACUGUGCUUUUUCUUCUUGCUGUUUUUACUCAUUGACAAAGUAAGAAGCAAACGAGAUGAUAUGAAAAUGGAAAAAAUACAAACAGUCAAUCAAGAAAAGACACAUCAAUGUCUAGGAGGAAGAAAUUUAUCAAAAACAGGAUUGCGUAGUUUUAACGUCACCAAAUUAUUUUUUUACUUAAAACUGAAGGGCACAUUUAUUUUCACAAUAUUUUCUAAGGAAACAAUAAAUUGUUAGAAAAUGUGCCUAAAAAAAAAAACAAAGUUCUUAGAAAAUUGGCUUUUCAACUUUUCCUGUUUUAAAUGGACUUUUGAAACUAGCUUUUCCAGUUCUCUGAUUUUCCUUCUGAAGUUCAUAAUAGAAAAUUAGAAAACGUUCAUAUCACCUAUUGAAUGUAGUUUUUUAAAAUUUCCUCUCAAGUUAGGAAAAUUGGAAACUCCCAUUUCUUAAAUUUGGAUAAAUAACUGAGAUCAUGUCAAUUUGUUUAGUUUUUCAUGUUUUCAUGAUGAAAAAUUAAUUGGAAAACAUAUAUAGAAAUUAGAAACGUCUGAGAAGAAAGCUAAAAGAAUCUGUUGAAAUGCAGGCUAGAAUUUCUUCAAAAAGUACUGAGCUUUUCGCAUGGAAACAAGCUAAUAUCCAAGCCAAAAGCAUGUAAAUUCAAAUAUUAUCCAAAUGUUUGAAUAACUGCAUCUUAAACCUUGAUAAGAGUUCUUAGCAACUAUAAACUAUUCAAGGAACAAGAAAUGUGGAAUGCAAUGAAUCUACUAACGCAUUAUCAUGAAACAUAAAUUACAGCAAAAGAAUUCAAAAUACGAAUCUAUUAAGAACAACCUUGGCAAUAUCUUAAGCACAUGAAUUAGCCAACUACGAGCCCACAGGAUGAGAACACAAUAGAAGUGACUAAUUAAGCUCUGAAUCUAAAUUUCUUAAAAAAUUAAAGCUGAAACAAGUACAAAACAAUAGAUCGAAACGAAAUAUAUGACAUCGCUAGGGAAAUGAAAUUCGCCAAGAAUUUAAAAAGAAAGAAAAAACAAAUAAAUGGUAAAAUCAACCCUCAGUGACAUCGCUACCUCGCGAUUAACAAAAAACUGCAAUCAGAGGAUGAGGAGGACUCACCUUUCUUCCAGUGAGAGAGAGAA